rnacentral:rRNA from 1 species
CGGAAACGAUCCUAGCUUGCUAGGAGGCGUCGAGCGGCGGACGGGUGAGUAACGCAUAGGAAUCUGCCCGGUAGUGGGGGAUAACCUGGGGAAACCCAGGCUAAUACCGCAUACGUCCUACGGGAGAAAGCAGGGGCUCUUCGGACCUUGCGCUAUCGGAUGAGCCUAUGUCGGAUUAGCUGGUUGGUGAGGUAAUGGCUCACCAAGGCGACGAUCCGUAGCUGGUCUGAGAGGAUGAUCAGCCACAUCGGGACUGAGACACGGCCCGAACUCCUACGGGAGGCAGCAGUGGGGAAUAUUGGACAAUGGGCGCAAGCCUGAUCCAGCCAUGCCGCGUGUGUGAAGAAGGCCCUCGGGUUGUAAAGCACUUUCAGUGGGGAAGAAAUCCUCGGGGCUAAUACCCCCGAGGGAGGACAUCACCCACAGAAGAAGCACCGGCUAACUCCGUGCCAGCAGCCGCGGUAAUACGGAGGGUGCGAGCGUUAAUCGGAAUUACUGGGCGUAAAGCGCGCGUAGGCGGCCUGAUAAGCCGGUUGUGAAAGCCCCGGGCUCAACCUGGGAACGGCAUCCGGAACUGUCAGGCUAGAGUGCAGGAGAGGAAGGUAGAAUUCCCGGUGUAGCGGUGAAAUGCGUAGAGAUCGGGAGGAAUACCAGUGGCGAAGGCGGCCUUCUGGACUGACACUGACGCUGAGGUGCGAAAGCGUGGGUAGCAAACAGGAUUAGAUACCCUGGUAGUCCACGCCGUAAACGAUGUCGACUAGCCGUUGGGGUCCUUGAGACCUUUGUGGCGCAGUUAACGCGAUAAGUCGACCGCCUGGGAGUACGGCCGCAAGGUUAAAACUCAAA